CCUUCGGAUUUGGGGAGGGUAGAAGGGCACAUCUCCAGCGGAAGGAAAGCCAAGUGAUGUACUUUCCACACGCUGGCUGGGUCCCCACCACUCAGGUAGCCACAGCUGAUCUCCAGGCGCGUCGGGACUCCUCUUAGCCAAGCCUCUCCCGGAGCCCCAGAGACGCUGCGAUCUACAGGGAAACUGUAGUUCCAAGAGUGCAUUGGACUCAGAUCACGUCACACUUAAGAGUUGGAAGUGAGAGAACCCGGCAGGCUUUUCCAGGAGCUGCAAUCCUCUGUCAUUAUAAACCUCUCUGCGAAGUCUCCCAGAGCAAGGAUGGAAAGGAAAAAAGCAGCAGAAGGUAAUGAACACCAAUGAAGAACAAAUGUAAAUUGUGACCACAGCAGGGCAUACAUAUGAAUAAUUCAGUCGGUUAUCUUCCUACACAUCACAAUCAUUUUUGUAGUCCACUGAACAUGAAGCUGUAUACAACUUCAAGAUUAAAGACUGUAAAACCAAACAGAAAAUACAUUUAAUAUUUUAGAAUAUAAGAAAUUCAUCUACUUCAGAAAUAGAAAAAGAGCAUAUUGGUGAACCCCCAAAAAUGCACUCAGCUCUGGUAAGCAGAACGGAAUUCUGAGAGUAGGUGCCCAAGUUCUGCUCAGAUGAUAGACUGACCCGUGUGCCAGCAAUCAGUUAGAGCUAGCACCUCACCUCUCUAAUCUCAUCUGUAAAACAGGGCAAGUAUUUCAUCUGUUAUGUGUGAUGUCAGCAAUUGAGAACAGGUUCUUGCAAAUGAUUCAACUGGGUGCAAUCUUAAAAUAAGUGCACAUUUUUGAAUGUUUGAUUUAGGGUAUAUGUCUCUGUAUCUAUAGGCACACACAACUGCAGUGCCCAAGGAGUUUAAAGGUAUGAGAUCUCCUGGAAAUACAGGCUGUUUGAGCCUUCCGAUAAAGGUUCUGGAAACUGAACUCACGUCUUUUCAAGAGCAGUUUGAUCUCUUAAUCACUAAAUCAUCUCUCUAGUAUCUUGAGUACACAACUUUUUGGUGUGAGCUAGAAAACACUUCUAUUCAUUGUGAUAGUUCUGAAAUUCAUUUGAAGCCAUGUGCCAUCUCUUAUUUCAUUCAUAACAUACCUGAGAUGUCUGUUACUGCCAUCAAUAGUUUUGUCUUAAUAUAGUACAUAAAACAUUUCUAACCAGGGAUGAAAGUUAAUAGAACACAACGUCUAAUAUCUCAGGUGAGCAAAAGUGAGCAGAUUAAUGAGACAGAUAUUCUUUUCAGUAAUAUUUAUGUUUACAAGAACAAAAAUAAAUAUAAAAUCAUAUCAAGGGAAUUUAUGUUUUGCUGACUGUAUUGAAUUGCUUAUUAUGCCUUUCAAGGAGAGAAAGAAAAAAGUCAAUGAAAGGAGCAUGUUUCUUAUAACACAAGAAACUCAGAGGAUAUAAUUCUUUUUACCUCUUUAGAUUAUUUGAGAAUAUAAAGUGGCAUUUAAUAGAGUUCCUAUAAUCUAUUUCCUACAAAAUACAUAAUUAGUACUGUCAUUGCUUGUUAUUCCAUAUCAAAUAUGGAGCAAGUUAUUAAACAAUUUAGAAAAUAAAAUUAUGGACA